AAAAUCGUACGUUAUUUUUAAAUCGUUUUAUAAAUUUAUGUAAAUAAUAUUCUCCUAUAUGAAUAGGAGAAUAUUAUUUACAUUAUGAUUAUGAAACUUAGUUUCCCUUACAUAGUUAACAUGACAAGAACUAACAAAGCUGCAUACAAGAAACAUCAGUGGUCAGGUGGAAAAAGGAAACGGCGUCAAGUCCAAGCUGCCUUACAACACCAUUAUGGCACCAAUUCAAGAAACGUGGCUUGGCGUAAUGUUCAAAUGAAUAACCCAUCUGACGUCACGAUGUGUGACGAUCCGUCAAAUGCCCAAACGGUGAUAAAUAAUGGUUCAACUAAUGCUGACUGAUCAUCAAAAACAAUAAACGUCGGACAACGGACAGUUCACGUCACGUCAUCCCUGUAAAGAUGAAAAAAAAUAGUAUAGUAUUUGUAAAUAUAUACUCAUGUACAUAGUAAAAUCAUGUUGUUUAAUUGAUAGUGCCUACAAAAAGAAAAUACGUUUAUUUCCAUUAUUUCACUAUGUUGUGAAAGUUAUGAUUAAACAUUACCUAGGCCCUAAAAUGAAUAAAGUUUGGAAUAAUGUUUCGCCCUGAAAACUCUGAAAUACAUGCUAACUAGCAUGUGAUAUGUAUAAUGAUUAUAAUGAAUGAUUGAUUUAUUUGAGGAAUAUAAUUUUAAUUUAGUUUUAUUGGUAAUAUAAAACUAAAUUAAAAUUAUAUUUUAUCAAUUUGAUUAGCUGACUGAUGCACGGAUCUAAAAUGUAUGCGAAGAACCGCGGAUUCGGAUCCAGAUCCGGAUAAUUUCAUACAUUUCGGAUCCGGAUUGCAAACCCUAUGUGCGGACAACCAAUCUGUCCGUAUUUUAUUUACUGUAAGCUUAUUUUUAGGGUUCCGUACCUCAAAAGGAAAAAAAAGAACCCUUAUAGGAUCACUCGUGCGUCUGUCUGUCUGUCUAUCUAUCUGUCUGUCUGGCUGUCCGUCUGUCACAGCCGAUUUUCUCCGGAACUACUGAACCAAUUAAUUUGAAAUUACUACUGAUUCUAAAAUUUUUGAAAAACUACAUAAAAUAAAUGAUGUGUUAAAAAUUGGGUAUCGUCUUGGGUCGUCCCAUUCGUUUUUCGUCAAGUUCUUAAAUUAGUCCUAUUCUGCUUUCGUCACUCAUUCUUCAUUGAUCACAAUCGUCGGUGGCUUUCAAUGUAGAAUGAGUGACGAAAGCAGAAUAGGACUAAUUUAAGAACUUGACGAAAAACGAAUGGGACCACCCAAGACGAUACCAAAAAUUGUGUUAUAUACGAAACCAGGAACGCGAGUCCGACUCGCACUUGGCCGGUUUUUUUUUGUUGCUAUUUUUCCAUACAUCAUUCCGAAUCCAAUGAGGUACCUUAUGUCACACGUAUUUUUAGGAUUAGUAAGUAUCUCUAAUUUUCACCAUUUUAAACUUGACGACGAAACUACACUCUGCGUGUACACGGUGGCUAAAAAAUAACUGCAUUCCCGUUGCCAGGGAGGUUUUGGAUUUACACUGAGCAACUUUUGCGAAGUAAAAAUUUACCCUUCCAUAGAAAAUGGACCAGCCAAAAUGUUUGAAACAGCAAAUUUUUUUUUUUCACGAUUUCGUGGUUGGUUCCAUAGUAAAAGUAGUUCAGUAUAAUCCCAAAACCUCUCUGGCAACGGGAAUGCAGAUAUUUUUAAGCCACCCUGUAUAUGUACUGGAAAUAGAUAAGAAUGGGUAUCUUUGGCUAGGCACUCAGUUUUGCACCGUAGCGAACGAAACUCUAAGUCUCUCUGUCGCACUAAUUAGAUGAGUGAUAGAGAGAGAUAACCGUUUCGUUCGCUACGGCGCAAAUGAUUGGCACCUUAGCUAGGCCCUUUGGAGAUCUAAGAACUGUGUAUAUUCGGAAAAUACGACCAUAGUGGUUAUCCCGAGCGGACAUCCCAUUUGCCGCACUCGCUAAGCGGAUGGAAUGAAGCAAUUGCUUUAAAGCUUGCAUUAUGUAGGUACUCUCUCCUAAACUACCUACUAAAGCAUGAAUAUUUCAGUUCUGCAUUGAAAUUCAACUUUGGAUCCAUGGACAU